GCAGAAUAUGUUGGCGCUUUAAAACUAAUAAUAAAGGUGUGAUUUGAGGUGAAUUUCAAAUUACAGGCCAGAACUUCUUAACCCAGAAAGAUAGCUGGCAUGGUUAAGUUUUCCAAUUCAACUAUUCUGGCCUGGAAUUUGAAGUAUCCUUUAGUGAAGAACCCUGUAUAUUUCUAAUUUGGUAGCCAACAUGUAAAAUCUUUAUACUAACUGUUUAUUUAAUUUGGAUAGAGUGUUCUAGGAUAGGAAAAGAGGAUAGUUAAUUGAAAAACUCCACGGCAGUCCAUGCCGAUUCCUUGUCCAGUUUUACAUUAAAUAUAAAUGUCUAUUGAUGUACCAUACAAUCCAUGGAUCAGGGAGUAUAUGUGUAUAUGCAGUGUGUACAGGUUAUGCAUUACUCAUUGUAAUCCCUUAUUUUAAUAAAGAGGGGCCCUGUGCAACCAUGUCCAACAUAGAGUACUUGUCUUUCUAGAAAAUACUAUGCAAUGCCCUCCUAAGAGUACUUCCUUCAGUUAAGUUGCAAUCUGCUUCAUUUAUUUUGCUGAUUAAUAUUCUUCCUUUUUUUUGUCCACGCUGAGCAUAUCUGGACCAUUGUAUUAGUUCCCCUUCGGUGGCUCAGUGGAUAAUGUGAGCAGCGAAGGGAGGGUUGGGUUGAAUCUAUCUCAUUGACAUGCAUUCGGUUUGAUUCUGCUUGUUGUCUGGGGUCAGUGGUCAUGUCCCUAAGGGUUUGUCGCAAACCAAGGAAAAUCAACAGACGAGUUAGCAUAACAUGCUAAUACACUUGUACAACGCUCCCUCUGCAACAACGUGAUCAAUUGGCAUUCAUUUAAU